rnacentral:tRNA from 1 species
CAGAAUGUGGCUCAGUGGUAGAGUGUUUGCUUUAGCAUGUACAAGGCCCUGGGUUCAACCCCCAGUACUCGGG